UGACAAGUCGAACGAACUCUGGUAUUGAUUGGUGCUUGCAUCAUGAUUUACAUUUGAGUGAGUGGCGAACUGGUGAGUAACACGUGGGAAACCUGCCCAGAAGCGGGGGAUAACACCUGGAAACAGAUGCUAAUACCGCAUAACAACUUGGACCGCAUGGUCCGAGCUUGAAAGAUGGCUUCGGCUAUCACUUUUGGAUGGUCCCGCGGCGUAUUAGCUAGAUGGUGGGGUAACGGCUCACCAUGGCAAUGAUACGUAGCCGACCUGAGAGGGUAAUCGGCCACAUUGGGACUGAGACACGGCCCAAACUCCUACGGGAGGCAGCAGUAGGGAAUCUUCCACAAUGGACGAAAGUCUGAUGGAGCAACGCCGCGUGAGUGAAGAAGGGUUUCGGCUCGUAAAACUCUGUUGUUAAAGAAGAACAUAUCUGAGAGUAACUGUUCAGGUAUUGACGGUAUUUAACCAGAAAGCCACGGCUAACUACGUGCCAGCAGCCGCGGUAAUACGUAGGUGGCAAGCGUUGUCCGGAUUUAUUGGGCGUAAAGCGAGCGCAGGCGGUUUUUUAAGUCUGAUGUGAAAGCCUUCGGCUCAACCGAAGAAGUGCAUCGGAAACUGGGAAACUUGAGUGCAGAAGAGGACAGUGGAACUCCAUGUGUAGCGGUGAAAUGCGUAGAUAUAUGGAAGAACACCAGUGGCGAAGGCGGCUGUCUGGUCUGUAACUGACGCUGAGGCUCGAAAGUAUGGGUAGCAAACAGGAUUAGAUACCCUGGUAGUCCAUACCGUAAACGAUGAAUGCUAAGUGUUGGAGGGUUUCCGCCCUUCAGUGCUGCAGCUAACGCAUUAAGCAUUCCGCCUGGGGAGUACGGCCGCAAGGCUGAAACUCAAAGGAAUUGACGGGGGCCCGCACAAGCGGUGGAGCAUGUGGUUUAAUUCGAAGCUACGCGAAGAACCUUACCAGGUCUUGACAUACUAUGCAAAUCUAAGAGAUUAGACGUUCCCUUCGGGGACAUGGAUACAGGUGGUGCAUGGUUGUCGUCAGCUCGUGUCGUGAGAUGUUGGGUUAAGUCCCGCAACGAGCGCAACCCUUAUUAUCAGUUGCCAGCAUUAAGUUGGGCACUCUGG
rnacentral:rRNA from 2 species